CCAAGGACUCCCAGGUGGUGGCCCAGAGCUGGCUGCUCUCCUCUAUCGGGCAGGUGGUAGGUCGGUUUUCCUCCCUUGGGCAGUGAGUCAUCCGAAUACCCCCUCGCUCAUUUCAACAACUACAAACACCAAAUCGCCCUGACUCUGUGAAUUGUGCCCCAUGCGUUGACUGACUGGCUCUAGUGACUGCUCUCUGGAGUCACUGGAGGCUGGGUGAGUAUGAUCAUCCUUGUCUGCAGACAAGCAAACUGAGGACCAGUCAGAAGUACCUCACCCAGGCUAUCCAGCUUGAGGCCUGGAACUGGGAUUUGAAUCCAUGUCCGACUAUCUUCGAAUCCUGUAUUCAUUCCAAUAAGAUGCCGACUCCCACUGUCUUCCCAUUGCCUUGUAGCAAGGAUAGACAACACCCCCAGGGCAGAUUUUGUCAGAAAUGUAGAUAUUUCCAAGGAAAAUCAGCUGCUUUGCUUGCCUCUCCCCACUGUAAGCAGGAAGACGGCUCAGUGUUUGUAGGGCCACCAGGAGAAUGCCUAGUGGCCUUCUCCUUCCACAGAUACUUCAGCUUGGGACCCAAUGUCCUCCACGGUCCCCCGGGAUCUUGAUGCCUCCACUUCCACUCAGCAACUCCAGGAGUUCUUGGUGACUCAUGCAAAAGAAAAAGCAAGGUCCUUGCAGAGCCAGGCAGAGCCCCCUGGAGUCCUCGUGAAGGUCUCUCCAAUGACCUUGAGCAAAUUUCAGAACCCUCUGAGCCUGGGCCCCCUCAUCUGUUAAGACAGUGACAACCAACCAUGCCAAACAAAAUGUACAGCUUGGUUCUGAGAACUGAAUGAGUUAACCUGUGUGAAGCCACCUGACUCUAAGAAGGUAUUCAAUAAAUACUAUUCGUCAUGAGAUAGAAUUGGGGGAUUUUGUGGCAAAAAGAAAGACUAUGGGAAUUAUAAUCAUUGAACACCUAAAACAUUCCAGUUACUAUGCUCAAUCCUUUACUUGAACAAUUAAGCCUCCCAACACUCCUACAAGGCAGGUAAGUAUCUCCUCACUUUGCAGGUAAAGAAACUGAGGCUCCAAGACGUUAGGUUAUUUACCCAAGAUCAAAAUCAAGAAUUUGACCCAGAACCCAGGAGUUUAACAUCUAAGAUGCUCUGCAACAAUUCCCACUUUCCUGCCAUGACUGGAGGAUCCUUCCCUGAAAUACGCGCUCUCAUCUAUCUUUAGAUUUUUGUUUAGAUAAGCAAGACCUUUCUGAAGGGGCUUCACAUCCCUCAUGACAAUAGUUACCCCUUCUCCUACACGCUCGGGACACUGUGGUUAUUUUUAUCCACUGCACUUUCCAAAUAUUACAUAUAUUUACACAUCUGUCUCUGGCACUAAGUGGAUCCUCUUGGAGGGCAUGGACAAAAUCUUAUUUUAUUUCUUUGUUUCCUCUCCAAGCAACCAUUACCCAUAGCACUGUGCACGCCCAGCUUUUGCUAAAUGUUUGUUGACUUGAGGUGUGUGUUAGGCAGAGUUGACCAGAGAGCGCGACAGACCUUAGUCCGAAUCCCUAUUCCCACUGACUGCGUGACUAGGCAAGUGACUCAGUCCCGCUGGGCCUCCCUCAGUCUCCUCACCUCUAAAACAGGAUAAUAGCACCUACCAUCAUGAGGUGUUGUGAGGAUGAAAUGAAAAAAUGCAGGUGUUGCAUUUACAUAGUGCCUGGGCACAUGUUACACAGUCAGUAAAUGUGUGUGAUAACACCUGAGGGGUAGAGACUGGACAAGGUGGAUGCUAGUGACAAGGAAAGAAAGAAGUAGCCCUGGGAAACAUGCAGAAAUAGGGAUGCUGCUGAAGACCAAACUUGCUUCCUUUUUAGAGCAUGGUGGAAUAGAGAGAGAGAAACAGGUUGGAGAUAAUUUAGGGAAAGUUCAGUAAAAUGUAGAAGGGCCAACAAAAUGUGUUUAAGACUGCCGUGACAAGAGGGGAAAAGGAAUUGGUUAGAAGUGAGAGAAGCCUGAAGCAGUGUCCCAGAGACUGUCCAGGAUGAAAGAAGGGGCCUGGAGAAGAGAGAGAUAUGCCUAUUCUACCAAAAUAAGGAAAACGCUGGAGGGGAUUGGGCGGGGGGGACAUGCAGCUGGGAGAACAUUACAAACUAAGGUGGCUGUGGAAGGAGCAGCUUCUGUUGGAUCCAAAAGGAGGAUCUGAAAGCCAAAAGGAAUGAAUAAUCCAGGCAUUGGGCUCAAGGAGGGAGGCAGCUGUCCAUUUAUGGCUUGAUGAACACUUGACUAAGCCCUUUCAGUUAGUUUAAGAAACUCCUUCUAAUGCAGUUUGGACUGAGAUGUCUUUAGCUGGAGCACACGCCUCGCCAAAGAUCCCACCCAGGAGGGAGCAGAGAGCAGUGGAAGCGGGGGGACCCCAGACCCAUGGCACAGUCUGUGGAGACUGCGGCCCGCUCUCAGCCCUGGGGUGGGGCAGCCGAAAUUUGCCAGGUGGUACGAGGAAGGCCUUCUAUUGGCAGUGCGCUGGGCCUCUUUGUCAAAUCAAACAGGGUCCUUCUCUGAGCUUCAAACCUAAUCUCUGCAAUUUAAAUCAAAAUUUGCGGACACAGAGGCUUCUACCUGCAGGAGGUGGGGGGAGGGAGAAGGUUAGGGGCCUCUUUCCGUAGUUUAGAGACAGGGGGCUGCUCUGAACUGAAGUCCUUGCUCCCUCCUCUGACCAUCACUCAGCUCUUUUCUCUAGAGUGAGAGAGGAAGGAGCUUGCCAAGUGGCAGGAGCCAAGUCAUUAAGCAGCCUGCAGGGGCAGAAAUGGUCUUUCUGGCCUCAGGACUGGAGCGAGAUUGUCCAAAGCAAUUUAUAGGCUCACUUGAAAGGUGACAUGGACAGGGAAGUGGCUCGGGAAGAAAAAUUCCUUCAUUCACAGAGCGUGGAGGCAGACCUGCCCUGCCUGUUAACCAGAAAUAGUACUGGGAGCUGGGAGCCUGGAGGAACACCUCCAGCCAGAUGUGAAGAGACCCUGUGGACAGAUGUGUGCAUGUGUGAAUGCCCCUCUCGCUCUAAUGCAGGCCCAGGUUGCGGGGGGCUGGUGGGUGGUGGUGGUUAUGCUCUACUCAGUUAUUCAAGGACCCAGGUGGCCCUGGCUUUACCAUGUUCAACACAAGGCUGCCCUGUGUCCCAACAUCCAGCUGAUGGGGAGAGAACACAGAGAUCAUACCUAGGUCAUGGUACCUGAAGUGGCACGCACCACCUCACAUGCCAUUGGCCAGAACUCAUUCCCAAGGAUGUGCUAAACUGCAAGGGAGGAUGGAAAGUGAAGCUUAGCUGUAUGCCCAGGAAGGAGGUGAAAUGGAUUUGGUGAUCCGUCAGCAAUCUUUGCCACAUGCCCCCAGUAACCCAGGAAAUUUGGUGAUAGAGGGUUGGACAGAGGUGCCUGAGAAAUAAACAGAUUGCUGAGACCUGUAGGGCUUGGGACAAUAUCCCACCUUGGGGUAGCCUUAAUAGGUGACCCAUCCUUAGCCUUAGGAGCAGGGCGCCCUGUGGGGAAGACAUUUGGAGGGGGGUCAGGUAAGAUCCAACUUGGAGUGCUAGAAGAACUGUGGCAGCUCUUGGCCUGGGGCAGAGGUGCUCUGGAGGCCUCUGGGGAAUGCUCUGAGGAGAGGACGAGGGCCUGGUCACUGAGGGCGAGGUCUGGGUUCCCAUGAGGCAGGUACAGGGAGCCUUAGGUCCAGCCCAGGUCACCAGGGUAGAAGAGAAGGCAGGGGUCAGGGACACACACUCCACACUGCAGUACUUGUGUGUAAUUCUCCUGUGCCCCAUCUUCAUGGAAGAAGAGCCGGGGGGGCCAGGGCCUAGCUGGACGAGGCCACCUAGGGGUGAGCAGACAAGAGAUGUAUCACUGCUCAGGACGCUGGGGUGAGGAUGGGAAAGCAGGGCGCCUGGCAUCUGAGGAGGAGGGUCCCAGAGUAAGGAGAAAGGGCUCUACAGGAGAACAGGGACACGGAGCCAAAGAACCCUCUUCCGUACAGGGUAUAAGGUGUGGCUUUUCAUUUUUAUGCUGACGUUGUUACUUCUGGGUGUCCCGAGCUAUCCAACAGAACUUUCUGCCAUGAUGGAAGUGUUCUCUAUCUGGCUGUCUCACAUAGUAACCACUAGCUGCAUGUGGUUACAGAGCACUUGAAGUGUGGCUAGCAUGACAGAGGAACUACAUUUUGAAUCGUAUUCAAUUUUAAUUAAUUUAAAUGAAAAUAGACACAGGCGGCUAGCAGCUACUGAGUUGGACAGCACAGGCAUAGUUUCAGCCCAAGGGAAGUAGGGUGUGGGCUGUCAUUACUUUGUCUGAGUCUCCUCAUGCUCUGCCUGUCACUGCUCCUGGGCCCUCGGCUCUGUCCCAGCUUUGGCUUAAGCUGAGCCCUGGGUGGACAGAGGGUCUAUGUCUACCCUCAGGUUUGGGCAGAUUAGAGCCUCUGAAAUCUUCAUUUGCUUUCAUCCCUGUGGGUCUGGGAAGAGAGGUCAGUCAGAGUGCUGGGCAGCUGGGAAGCAUUACUGAAUCUUUGUGGUCCUAGUGCUGGAGAUGGAGAAGGGGCUUGGACCCUGACUUCUCUGUCCUCGGUUUCAAGGUGUUGGGCUUCAGUCCCGGCUCCUUCGUUGAUAGGAGGGUCAGAGACAUUGAGGCCCGACUGAUGCAUCCGCAAGAGGCUCAGGGGCGGCUCACAGCUCACGGAUGGGAAAUGUAAUUGCAUCUGCCACUCAUCUGCUCCGUGCCCAGACUGUCUAAUUGGUAAAUGCUUUGAUGCCCACUAUUCACCCGCCACCCCCGCGCACUCCUCCAACCAUCCCCCCAACUGCAUUUUGAAUCAUCAGCACUUUGUUCCUUUCUAGCACAUCCCCUCCCCUGGUUCCCAGACCAGCUGAACUAGCUCUGCUUCCAAGCCUAUUGUCACUGUCUGCCAUCCUGUCAUCACUUCAAACAUUAUCAAUAGACAUGACUGUCUGUCUGUGUCCCAGAGGGACCCCCAGGUCCAGGGCUGCCUUGCCAGUGCUCUGGGCAACACCCGAGUCCCCGGAGUCUGCUCUACAGUCUAGACCAUCCCCCGCCCUCCUCUUGGCUCAGGUGCAAAGCUAGAGGGGCGGGACCUCCACCGAUUCCUGUCCCUCCCCUUAGCAGCUCUUUCUCUUCUCUUCUUUCUCUUUAUUCUCCUCCCUCUGGAGGAGCCGGCUUUCAACCUCUCUACAGGAUACAAGGUGGGCUGGUCCCCAAAACAGUAUUUGAAGUUGGUGAGAGGGAGAUAAUGGGAGAGAGGUGGAGCGCCGUGUGGCUGCAGGGCCCUGGAAUCCAGGUGGGUCUGGUCUGCUUCCUGCCCCCUUACACAGGGUCAUCUUUGAAUCAAUACCAAAUUUUCUUCCAACCUUGAAGGCUGCCCCAGUCUCCACAGGCCUGAACUGAAGUUAUCCUCAAGUCCUGGUUCAAGCCCUACCUGAGUCCCUGACUCUGGCCUCACUAGGCCUCCCAGGCCUUCUUAGAAUGGGCACCAGAAAGCUCUUUCUAAAGGGCAAACGUAAGGUAUCCUGCUCUGUGUAACAUCUUCCAAUGGACCCUCAAUGACUCCCCAGUAAGGGCUGGACUCCUUAACAGGACUUAGGUGUGUCACAACGUCUUCCUCUUCUCCAGCCCCAUACUCUCACGAGGCCAGGCUUCAUUUUCCCCUCUAGCUCACAUGUGAUGUGUGAUGGUCCUGUGAAAGGCCUGUUCCUCUGGGUAUAGCCAAGAUUAUUCACAGUUCACCGUGGGCUAGCUCUAAGCCCACUCAGUUCUCUUCUGCUCAGGAAAUGCCCUCGCUCUCCAUCACCAUUCAGAUCUGCUCAGGCACGCCACCUCUGUAACGUAUUCCUCGUCUCCUAACGCUAGACAGGCGGCAGUAGUCCUCGGUUCCGUCAAAAGCACCCGCAUGAGGUUGUGUAGUUUUAAUUUCCUUAUCUCUCCUACACCUACCCCUAGCACCCAGCACCCAGGUGGGCUCCUUCAUAUCAGCUAGCAGCAUGGAAUGAAGCCCACCCUGGCCAUCAGCCUGGAGGCUUUCUCCCUGCCUGAAGCCGGAUUGCAGGUCCUGGCUCAGAAUGGACAGAGAGGAUGAACGCAGGACCUAUGGUUGAUAUCAUUCAUCAAGUGCCCUUCAAGCACUGACUGGUACUGAAAGCUGUUGUUUUCCAGGUGUGGCCUCGAUCCCAGCCUUCUCCUUUCUGAAGGAUGGAGACCCAGGUGGGGCCAGUGUAGUUUCUUUCACAGAGCAGAUGCUCCAUAAACAUUUAUUGGAUGAUUAACUCCCAGUGUUCAGCUCUCAGGAUGAUGCUGAGCUCAGAUUAAGUUCUGUUGUUGUCGUUCUCUUCUUUGUUUUCUGGUCCACAGGGAAGUGCAAACGAUAGUCUUGGGGAGGACCAAUGUAAGCCACUUCUUCCCACCCACUGUCCCCUUUACGGUUCUAGAGUCAGAGAUUUCUGAGCUGGGCCCAGCAAGCUCUCCCCCGUCUCUGGACUGCUCUCUUGGGACCAGCUUCCCACAGCCUCCCCCGUCCCCAGGAGGAGCCAAGACAUCUUAUUCAUGGAUGCUCCUUCUGUGCAGGGCUUUGGUGGUGGCUGCUCUUCCACCACUCUGCCACUCGCUCCGCCGGGGCCCUGCCAAGUUUCCUCCUCCACACCUGAUGGCAUACCUGGCCGGGUUCUCAGCCUCACUUGGGAUUGCUUUCUUUGGUUCCAAGCUGGGUUGCCUUUCCUCUUCUUCUCUGAAAGAGCACCAUGGUGCCCGGACCUUUACCAGUUUGCCACCCAAUUCCUUUUCUCUCCUGACCUCGUCCCCGUGUGCAUCUCUUAGAGCAUGGCCAGGGCCCUUCUUACUUGGUCUUUACUUAUUUAUUUUUCCGGAAGAUUUUUCUAAAUUUGUUUUUUAAUUGAGGUCAUAUUGGUUUAUAACAUUAUGUAAGUUUCAUACGUACAACCUUGUAUUUCUACUUCUGUAUACACUUCAGUGUAUCCCCACCAAAUAUUCAGUUUCCAUUCGUCACAUGCAGUUGAUCCCCUUUAGCCGUUUUGCCCUCCCUGCUGUCCCUUACCAUCCAAUCACCACUAUGCUGUUCCCUGUAUCUACCUGUUUGGUUUGAUUUGGUUUGUUCAUUUAUUUUGUUUCUUUGUUUGCUUGUCUGUUUUUAUUCCACAUAUGAGUGAACUCGUAUAUGGUAUUUGUCUUGCUACAUGUGACCCACUUCACCUAGCACCAAUACCCCCAACAUCCAUUCAUGCCGCUGCAAAGGGCACGACCCCAUCCUCUUUAUGACUGAGUAGUACUCCAUUGUGUGUGUGUGUGUGUGUGUGUGUGUGUGCGCGCGCGUGUGUGUAGAUAUAGAUAUGAUAUAGAUACACACCACAUCUUCUUAAUCCAUUCAUUGGAAUAUUUUUUCACUUACUCGGUCUUUAGCACCAGACUGCACUCAUCCUCCUUGAGCCUCAGUGGUGUGUGUCACCUCCCUCUAUCACGCUGUGGAUUCCUUGAGAGUGGGCUCUGGGACUACGUACAGCUCUGCAGCCUCCCAUGCUCUCCACGUUCUCCCUCGGGACCUUGCCCAUGAGAUCCCAAGAAGUGCACCGUGCUCUGAAGAGGCAGACUGAGGCUGUAGGGGCCCGGCCGCCCCUCCCCACAAUGCUUUGGCCGGUCAGCCAGCACCCGAGACCGCAGACCAGCCUGACAGGCCGGCAGAGUCCCUAGCCUCUGGCUUUCCUCACAUGGGAGAGCUGGUUAAAAGUCAACAUUCCCAGAACUGAAUGGGGAAAAGCUGGGGAGAAGGGAAGAAGCCUGAUCUCUCCCCAGCGGUGUGUGUACCAAGAGAAGAUGAAUGUGAUGCUCUGGGAGUUCAGCUAUCUCCCGGGAGAGAAAUGCAUCUGUUGAUUACAUUUCUGUUCUGAAAAACAUGGUCCUUGGAAUAGUGCUUAGCUGAUCCUGGCACUGGGCUGUGAAAGCUAAAUUGUCUCUGCCCCCAACUCAUCCCUCCCACAUGGUGGAUUUGGAGAAAGAGCUGGAUUUGGAGAGGUUGAGGAGGAAGGGGGGCCCAGGACAUGGCAGGGGCUGGAGGUAGAGCAUGUGAAGACAUGGUGGUGUGGGGUUAUGCCCCUGGCACUCCUGUGGGGCAAAUAGAAGGGCCCGCGCGGGACCGCGCAGGGGCUUAAGAGGUGUGCACAAAGGCAGAGCCCUCUCGGCCCGGGCACCGUCCAUGGAAGGCAAUGUCGAUUCAGCAUUGCCCCUCUGCUUCCCACUCAGAACAAACCUUCUUUCCUGUUUACACAUUAGGGGGUCAUGUCUGGAGGAGGUGGAGAGGAGAGCCCCCUGCAGCUCCUCUAGGAAGCUCCUGGGAGGGAGUGAUAGGGAACAGACAAGACCAGGGCCAGAGAGCAUGGGAGGAGAGAGGAUCCAUCCAUGUUGAGGCCCGGGGGAGGAGGGCUGCACUGCAGACAGCUGGCAGUGCCAGAAGCUGGGGGCAGAGGGCACAUGGCAGGAGACAGGAGGAGGAGCUACACUUCACGUCUAAGAGGAGGAGGUACUGGUCCUCUGUUUCCCUUUGGGCUUUUGUUGUUUACCUGAGUGAUUCCUGGCCCCGGGGCAACACAGAGCAUUUCUCUGACAUGCACUAGAGAUGUGACUUAAUUGCCUUCAGAUUCUGCUUGGGGUUUUUCCCUCUGAAUUUCACCAAAUGGUCCAGGUUUACCCUGACUGCCAUUUUAGUGUGUUUUAUUUUCUCUACCACCUAAUGUCCCAGAGGUCCCCAGAAGCUGCACACCUUUCUGUAAGCCCCAGGGUGAGCCUCCCUCUGAAAGUCUGGACCAGGCCCGGGAAGAUCUGCUCAUGGGCUGUGAUUUGGGCACCUUGCCCCCUCCCCUGCCCACAUGCCCUCCUUCCUAGAGCACACAGACUCUCAGGCAGUGUCUGAGAUGCCAUAAUAUGGAAAGAGCAAAUUCCUUGGAAGAAAAUGUAGGCUUCUCUUUGGGCCUUGGAUUUAAAAUGCAGACUCGAGGUAGGGUAAACUGCCUUGCGGUUUAGGGUGAAUUUACCAGUUAGCUUUUAUCCUCUAAGAGAGACUGAUCUGACAGUACCUGGUAUCACCUGGAACUGCUCCACCUCUGAACCCUUGACUUCAAACAUGCCACUCUCUGGGUACAAAUCUUCUGUCCUUUCAGCUUUUCCCUAAACCCCUCAUUCUUCCUCAAGACCUUCAGCUCUCAACCCCUCUGUCAGCUCCUCCUGACCUCACCCCUUCUCUGACUAGGUCUCCGCUCCUUGAUUGACCAUUUGACCCAGCCUCUUCUAUUCUUUUUUUUUUUGAAUUUUAUUUUAUUUAUUUUUUUAUACAGCAGGUUCUUA